CUCCUUUGACGUUAGCGGCGGACGGGUGAGUAACACGUGGGUAACCUACCUAUAAGACUGGGAUAACUUCGGGAAACCGUAGCUAAUACCGGAUAACAUUUGGAACCGCAUGGUUCUAAAGUGAAAGAUGGUUUUGCUAUCACUUAUAGAUGGACCCGCGCCGUAUUAGCUAGUUGGUAAGGUAACGGCUUACCAAGGCGACGAUACGUAGCCGACCUGAGAGGGUGAUCGGCCACACUGGAACUGAGACACGGUCCAG
rnacentral:rRNA from 1 species